GGGGGUGUAGCUCAGUGGUAGAGCGUGUGCUUCGCAUGCACGAUGUCCCUGGUUCAAUUCCUGGCACCUCCA
rnacentral:tRNA from 2 species